UACGGGAGGCAGCAGUGGGGAAUAUUGCACAAUGGGCGCAAGCCUGAUGCAGCCAUGCCGCGUGUAUGAAGAAGGCCUUCGGGUUGUAAAGUACUUUCAGUCGUGAGGAGGUGUUAAGGUUAAUAACCUUAGCAAUUGACGUUAGCGACAGAAGAAGCACCGGCUAACUCCGUGCCAGCAGCCGCGGUAAUACGGAGGGUGCGAGCGUUAAUCGGAAUUACUGGGCGUAAAGGGCACGCAGGCGGUUAAUUAAGUUGGAUGUGAAAUCCCCGGGCUUAACCUGGGAAUGGCAUUCAAGACUGGUUAGCUAGAGUCUUGUAGAGGGGGUAGAAUUCCAUGUGUAGCGGUGAAAUGCGUAGAGAUGUGGAGGAAUACCGGUGGCGAAGGCGGCCCCUGGACAAAGACUGACGCUCAUGUGCGAAAGCGUGGGGAGCAAAC
rnacentral:rRNA from 1 species